AUUUCACUUAUAGGUAGCUUAGCUGGUGGAAGAACAUCAGAUGCGAUUGGUAGAAAGUGGACGAUGGGGUUCGCUGCUGUUAUUUUUCAAAUAGGUGCAGCUGUAAUGACUAUUGCUCCUUCGUUCGAAAUACUAAUGGUAGGAAGGAUUUUAGCUGGUGUUGGCAUAGGCUUUGGCGUCAUGAUUGCACCCGUCUAUAUAGCUGAGAUAUCACCAACUAUUGCUAGAGGCUCACUCACAUCAUUUCCUGAGAUUUUUAUCAAUCUAGGCAUUUUACUUGGCUAUGUAUCAAAUUAUGCAUUCUCCGGUCUUUCAGCACAUAUAAGCUGGCGGGUAAUGCUUGCUGUUGGAAU
rnacentral:misc_RNA from 1 species